rnacentral:lncRNA from 1 species
UUUAAUUAUAGUUAAAUUAAAGAAACACAAAAGUAAAACCUCGUCACUUUUUUUCAUUUUUCACUUCUUUUUUUAUAACUUAAAUAAUGAACAUAAAAAAGGAGAAAAGAAAAGUUGAUUCAAUUCAAUCGAAAACAAAUGAAGAAAAUCAAAAACACUUAGAUGAGAUGGCGCGCGAGUCUCUUCUAACUUAACUAGGGGUCUUGAAAACUCUUAGAGAGAAUUUGUCAUCCAUUAAGUCCCACAAGACUCGAUGGAUUAAUCGUUACAAUUGUACGCAGAGGAUACCCGAUUUAUACACAAACGAAAAAAUGAAGAAGGCUCACACUUCACACUGCUUCUUCUCUCCCUCUGUCCUGAUUUCCUCUUUUAAACAUUUUAUGUUUCGUUUUUUAUUUUUAUUGAUCGAUUUAUAUUCAUAUGAAUGUGUUAAGAUUAUCAUAUUUGUUGUCUAAGAUGUGUUCACCUAUUAUUUCAAAAUUCGUAUGUGUUAAAGAAAUGUCAACAAUAUAUUAAAAUUAUGCCCAUUAGGAACAAAAAAAUGAAAUAAUUUUUUUGAAAGGAUUAAAAUAUUCCCUUUUAUUUUUAAAGACUAAAGUAAAAAUUUAAUAUAUUUUUAGAGACAAAAAUUUAUUAUAAUAUUAAAUUAAAGUAUAUUCUAAUUUCUAUUUAAUUUUAAGAAAAAUGUUAACAAAUGUUCUAAAGGCACAAACUAAUGAAACUAAUAUAGAAAUAUUUUCCUAAAAAUUGUGUAUUCAACUUUUUUUAGGUUUACAAUUGUUCUUUUCACUAUUUUUUUUGUUGGUUUCUAUGGUUGCUCUUGUUUCUGGUUUUUGAAUUUGGAUUUAGAUGAUAAGCUUCAGAUCUGAUUUUGAUUGGAUCUAUUCCUGUUAGUUUUUGAUUUUUUGUGUGCCAUUGGCCUGUUGUGUUCUUGUUCUCUAUAGGGCCAGUCCAUGCUCAAGUAUAGUGGUGGUAGGAUCCAGAACAUGAUUUGUGCUAACCUACGAUAUGUGAUUUGGUAUUGGAUUUCUAAGAUUAGGUCCUUGACGUUUGGCUAAAAAUGGUCGUCACUGCUUGCUUUGAUGAGUUGUUGGUUAGUGAUCCAUUAUUGUGUUGGUGGUCGGGUUCAUUUAUUAUAUCUAGGAGUGUACAUGGCCGGAUUGGGUUGG